rnacentral:tRNA from 1 species
CAGAGAGGACGGAACUGGUGUUCCAGCUGGUCUUCAAAACCAGUAAUAGGCAGCUAAAACUGUUUACGGCAGGUUCGAUUCCUGCCCUCUCGG